GACGAACGCUGGCGGCGUGCUUAACACAUGCAAGUCGAACGAAGUGGCGAACGGGUGAGUAACGCGUAAUAAACAUGCCCUUCAGAGGGGGACACCAGUUGGAAACGACUGCUAAUACCGCAUACUGAUGGAGGGGAUUGCGUAGGAUUGGCUAGUCGGAGGGGUGACGGCCCACCAAGGCGAUGAUCAGUCGCCGGGCUGGUGGGAAGAACGGGCAAAAUGGGACUUAGACACGGGCCAGACUCCUGAGGGGUGCAGCAGUGGGGAAUCUUCCGCAAUUGACGAAAGGCUGACGGAGCAACGCCGCGGGGGAGAUGACGGCCUUCUGGUUGUAAAGCUCUGUUAAUCGGGACGCGGUACCGGAAUAGAAAGCCACGGCUAACUACGUGCCAGCAGCCGCGGUAAUUC
rnacentral:rRNA from 1 species